UGACCCUGCAGGUCUUUUCUCCUACGUCCCAGUACAAAUUGUCAAUAUUGAAUGACACAAAAUCUGAUUUCAGGGCUGUUGUGACCGCUGCUGCCUUGAUGUUUUCAAGAUGUAUUUUGCCUGCCAGCUUUCUGUUGCUUUAUGGAGAAAACUGACCCUGCAGUCACAUAUAUGGGUGUGGUCUCUAACAUUGCAUUCCAUCUUUUAGCCAUUCUGCAAUGACAGAUGUGACUGCUCAUUUAACAGGUUCAAUAUAGGAGAUGAGCAUCAUUUCAGCAAGAAAAUACGAACUGCUGGUGUCACCAAACAGUUUUUAACUGUGCAGUUUCUGCUGUGGCAGAUUGCCAGGAUAAAGUGACCCAAAAAGUGGAUGGGAGCUUAGACCCCCUGCACAAAUGGCAACCACCAGUGGGGUCCAGACUGCAUUCUCCCAGGAAUUUAGGAUACAGGGUCCCCAGGUGAUGUAGCUGAGUCUUCUCUUGAGAGAAGCCUCAUAGUAAUCACUGAAGACUUGGUUUCAACUUCUCUUGUUCUCAAUUUGAAUGCUUUAAUAUCUGUGCUGAUUAUAAGAUUAUAAAGUCCUUAUUCUGGGAAGAUUAAAGAGAAAUAAAAAAUAAUAGGAAAAAAAAAAGAAAGAAACCCUUUAUAAAAGAACAAGACACCAGAAACAGCAAUAGAGGAACACUGGUGAGGGGAAAUGUGGUUUUUUUCUUAAGAAAAGGAUAAUUACAUCUGGGGAAUGGGGUUUACCACAAAAACUCACUCCCUCUGAACACUUAAACCAGCUGUGUGUCUUUGCUGUACUAUCUCCACUUUGAACAGAGACAGGCAAGAGGUUAAGUUACUUCCUUCAGCACCAGCCCAGAGACUCUCUGAGUUGUGUUGGUCUCAGCUCCUGGUGCACUCUGUUUUCUCAGGGAAGGUAUGACAUUACUUCCAAGACACAGGUAGCUUAUGUCUUCGUGCUGGAUUUCUUUCUUUUAUCACAAAUCCUGCAGAGAAGGUGUUGAAAAGCUUACACAGGUCCAAAACGUUUAGUGACAGUACUAAGGACUCAGAGCCAGCAACAAGAGUGACCUUUCAGUGCAGGCACCUGGAACUGGCACCAUGAAUGACAAUGGAAGAAAAAAAUUCUUCAAAGAGCAGGAGCUCAUUUAAUUUCCCUUUACAUUCACUGGACUGAUGAACACAAUUAACAGCUGCUUCACUGGAAGGAGUUGUUACUCAGUUAUUUCUUUCAUCUCAGACUUCA